rnacentral:rRNA from 1 species
UACGAAGGGGGCUAGCGUUGUUCGGAAUUACUGGGCGUAAAGCGCACGUAGGCGGAUCCUUAAGUUAGGGGUGAAAUCCCAAGGCUCAACCUUGGAACUGCCUUUAAUACUGGGUAUCUCGAGUCCGGAAGAGGUGGGUGGAAUUCCGAGUGUAGAGGUGAAAUUCGUAGAUAUUCGGAGGAACACCAGUGGCGAAGGCGGCUCACUGGUCCGGUACUGACGCUGAGGUGCGAAAGCGUGGGGAGCAAACAGG